GGAAGCCAUAUGAACCAAUAUUAAUACCAAGAUGGUCCCUGGAUUUGCUGUCUUAUAAAACUUCUGCAUUCAAUUUUUAUUUUAAAAGAGUUUACAAAUAUUCCUCAGCUACUGAGGAUCUAUGUAAUGAACUUACAUUUACGAUAUGGACCAUAACCACGGAUACACUAAACAAUUUUUGCAUAGACUACACAAUGCUGUAAAGAAAUCAUUGAACUCCGAACAUCAAAACAAGAACCAGGUAGCACAGCAUAGCAACUUUAUACCAUUAUCCUACAACAGGGGUUGGCAACCUUUUCUGGACAGCGGGCCAUUUUCAAAAAAAAAAAAAAAAAAACUUUUUAACCGGGC
rnacentral:lncRNA from 1 species